GAGCUUGUAGAGGGUGAAGCGCUUUUCGAGUUCUUCGAUGAGAUAGGGAUAGAUUGGAGUGCAGGUCAUGAGAACACCGAUCGACUCCAUUGGUUUUUGAAUGCAGCGCUCCUACUUGCCACGAUACGUUUGUUUUUCUGUGAUAGUGAUAAUGGAAUAGUAGUUUGGUUGUUUUUCAGUGGUCGGUGGCGGCUUGGUUGCAGCUCAGAGGUAAGUUUUCUUUGGAUUUCACUUGUGCCGCAGCAGUGGAGUCGGGCGAACAAUUUUCCCACUAUGACCUCAAGUUUUCAGGUACUACGAGUUGCCAAACGUCGUCGUUCCAUUUGUUGGCUUUUAUUUUUGGACGUGUACUUCUAUGAUGUCUAAAUGCAGGUAGUACUAGACAUAUCAACGAUUCAAAAACACCAAAACCCCUAGACCUGGCAAGCCCAACACAUCAAAAUUUUUAAAAGACAACACACACAAUCCAGCAAAAUUCAAGCAGAGAAACAACAAAAGUAUAGCCCUGAUUAGCGACACUGCAACUCUUUACAGGAGCCAUUGUCUGGCCUUGUCAUGGCCGCAUAGGCGCAUAGGCCCGGCCAUUGUGUUCGCUUCUGGUCUCAUGCUAUUUCAUUUGCUAGAUUUGUCCGUCGGCUCUUGACAAUGCUAUCAGCAACUUUAAAAAGAUGACAUUUUUACAUUUUAAUUGCACUAGUCAAAUUUAAUAUUUGAAUAAAUCUAAAAUAAUAGUAAAUAAUUAAUUUAUUUUUAUUAAGAGU
rnacentral:misc_RNA from 1 species